rnacentral:lncRNA from 13 species
CAAGCAUUUGGAAACAUUAAUUUUCAGUCGAUAAUAUUUUAAGAGCCUCAUUGUAGUUAGAAAAAACAGUAACUUAUUUAACAACAUUUGUUUCAGCUUCAGGUUCAUGACCAAAAAGAAAACCUAAAGGGCUUCGUGAAGACUUCUGUCAAGGUCCUAGCUACCAACGGUAAUCAUGUGUGAAACCACCAAAAGCUUGGAACUUACUCAAGUGACAGCGGUUGAUUCCAGACUGCAGCUGGUCUGUGAUACAUUUGUGAAACCAGAUGAAGAAAUCAUUGACUAUAACACAAGGUAUGUACUUUUUUUUAUGACUGCAUAGUAUUUCAUGGUGUAUAUGUGCCGCAUUUUCUUUAUCCAGUCUAUCACUGAUGGGCAUUUGGGUUGGUUCCAAGUCUUUGCUAUUGUGAACAGUGCUGCAGUAAACAUUCUUGUACAUGUGUCUUUACAGUAGAAUGAUUUAUAAUCCUUUGGGCAUAUACCUAGUAGUGGGAUUGCUGGGUCAAAUGAUAUUUCUAUUUCUGGAUCCUUGAGCAAUCGCCACACUCUCUUCCACAAUGGUUGAACUAAUUUACACUCCCACCAACAGUGUAGAAGUGUUCCUAGUUCACAUCCUCUCCAGCAUCUGUCGUUUCCUGAGUUUUUAAUAAUCACCUUUCUGUCGUGAGAUGCUAUCUCAAUGUGGUUUUGAUUUGUGUUUCUCUAAUGACCAGUGAUGAUAAGCAUUUUUCAUAUGUUUGUUGGCUGCAUAAAUGUCUUUUGAGAAGUGUCUGUUCAUAUCCAUUGCCCACGUUUUGAUAGGGUUGUUUGUUAUUUUCUUGUAAAUUUAAGUUCUUCGCAGAUUUGGGAUAUUAGGCCUUUAUCAAAUGGAUAGAUUGCAAAAUGUGUCUCCCAUUCUGUAGGUUGCCUGUUCACUGUGAUGAUAGUUUCUUUUGCUGUGCAGAGCUCUUUCGUUUAUUUAGAUACCAUUUGUCUACUUUGGCUUUUGUUGCCAUUAGGUAUGCAUUUUUUAAAG